rnacentral:rRNA from 1 species
UACAUAGGGUGCAAGCGUUGUCCGGAAUUAUUGGGCGUAAAGAGCUCGUAGGUCGUUUGUUACGUCGGAUGUGAAAACCUGAGGCUCAACCUCAGGCCUGCAUUCGAUACGGGCAAACUAGAGUUGGUAGGGGAGACUGGAAUUCUGGUGUAGCGGUGGAAUGCGCAGAUAUCAGGAGGAACACCAAUGGCGAAGGCAGGUCUCUGGGCCAAUACUGACACUGAGGAGCGAAAGUCUGGGGAGCGAACAGG